AGUGGCGAACGGGUGAGUAACGCGUAGGCAACCUGCCCUUUGGAUGGGGACAACAUUCCGAAAGGAGUGCUAAUACCGAAUGUGAUCCAUUUCUCGCAUGAGAGAUGGAUGAAAGAUGGCCUCUAUUUAUAAGCUAUCGCCAAAGGAUGGGCCUGCGUCUGAUUAGUUAGUUGGUGGGGUAACGGCUCACCAAGACGAUGAUCAGUAGCCGGUCUGAGAGGAUGAACGGCCACAUUGGGACUGAGACACGGCCCAAACUCCUACGGGAGGCAGCAGUGGGGAAUCUUCCGCAAUGGACGAAAGUCUGACGGAGCAACGCCGCGUGAGUGAUGAAGGUUUUCGGACUGUAAAACUCUGUUGUCAGGGACGAAGGUGCGAUCUGCGAAUAGUUGAUCGUAUUGACGGUGCCUGACGAGGAAGCCACGGCUAACUACGUGCCAGCAGCCGCGGUAAUACGUAGGUGGCAAGCGUUGUCCGGAAUUAUUGGGCGUAAAGAGCAUGUAGGUGGGCUUUUAAGUCCGAUGUGAAAAUGCGGGGCUCAACCCCGUAUGGCAUUGGAUACUGGAAGUCUUGAGUGCAGGAGAGGAAAGGGGAAUUCCCAGUGUAGCGGUGAAAUGCGUAGAUAUUGGGAGGAACACCAGUGGCGAAGGCGCCUUUCUGGACUGUGUCUGACACUGAGAUGCGAAAGCUAGGGUAGCAAACGGGAUUAGAUACCCCGGUAGUCCUAGCCGUAAACGAUGGGUACUAGGUGUAGG
rnacentral:rRNA from 1 species